GGCUUCUUGGUCUAGUGGUAUGAUUCCUGCUUUGGGUUCUCAAUCAUCGCCUCAUCAGCGACGACGAGCAGAUACCGGCUGCAGGAGGUCCCCGGUUCGAUCCCGGGAGGAGCCC